rnacentral:rRNA from 1 species
GAGAUUAGAGUUUGAUCCUGGCUCAGAACGAACGUUGGCGGCGUGGAUUAGGCAUGCAAGUCGAACGAAUCCCUGGGGGCUUGCUCCCAGGGGGAAGUGGCGAAAGGGGCAGUAAGGCGUGGGUAACCUACCCCGGGGACCGGGAUAGCCACCCUAACGGGUGGGUAAUACCGGGCGAUGUGACGAGAUCGCCUGACCUUGUCACGAAACGAGUUUCGCCUCGGGAGGGGCUCACGUGGUAUUAGCUUGUUGGUAGGGUAACGGCCUACCAAGGCCAAGAUGCCUAGCGGGUGUGAGAGCACGACCCGCGCCACUGGCACUGAGACACUGGCCAGACUCCUACGGGAGGCUGCAGUCGAGGAUCUUCGGCAAUGGGCGCAAGCCUGACCGAGCGACGCCGCGUGCGCGAUGAAGGCCUUCGGGUUGUAAAGCGCUGUCGAGGGGGAGGAAGCCCCGCAAGGGGUUGACCUAUCCCUGGAGGAAGCACGGGCUAAGUUCGUGCCAGCAGCCGCGGUAAGACGAACCGUGCGAACGUUGUUCGGAAUCACUGGGCUUAAAGGGCGCGUAGGCGGGCUGUUUAGUCUGGGGUGAAAUCUUUCGGCUUAACCGGAAAAGUGCCUCGGAUACUGGCAGUCUUGAGGGAGGUAGGGGCAGGUGGAACUUCCGGUGGAGCGGUGAAAUGCGUUGAUAUCGGAAGGAACGCCGGUGGCGAAAGCGGCCUGCUGGAUCUCUUCUGACGCUGAGGCGCGAAAGCUAGGGGAGCGAACGGGAUUAGAUACCCCGGUAGUCCUAGCCCUAAACGAUGGGUACUAGGUAGCGGACUUAACAUGGGUUCGCUGCCGAAGCAAAAGUGAUAAGUACCCCGCCUGGGGAGUAUGGUCGCAAGGCUGAAACUCAAAGGAAUUGACGG